UACGGGGGGGGCAAGCGUUGUUCGGAAUUACUGGGCGUAAAGGGUGCGUAGGCGGUUCGUUAAGUUGGAUGUGAAAACUCUGGGCUCAACCCAGAGCCUGCAUCCAAAACUGGCGGGCUAGAGUUCUGGAGGGGGUAGCGGAAUUCCUGGUGUAGCGGUGAAAUGCGUAGAUAUCGUAAGGAAGACCAGUGGCGAAGGCGGGUCUCUGGACAGUUCCUGACGCUGAGGCACGAAGGUCAGGGGAGCAAACGGG
rnacentral:rRNA from 1 species